GACGGGGCGCUCGCCCCACAGGCGCCAGGCGCUCCGGCCGCAAGGGAGCAGGGAGCCCUGCCAGCUGGGCCACCCGAGGGGCGUUGCGGGGCUCCGGGCGGGGUCGACCCGGGGGGCUCCGUCGGGCCCCACCAGCCUUGCGCCUUUUUCGCUCGGUCUCCUUGGCCUCCCGCUCCUGCGACGCCGCUUUCCUUUUCUCUUGCUCCCGAGCUCGGACCUCGGCCAGGGGCCCCGCCCGCCAGUUGGUCGCCUCCUGCAGCACCCUGGAGGCCCAGGGCCGGCGGGGCGGCGGCUGUGGGGAUCCCGGGCGCGGCCCACACCUGGGACAAUGAGCAGGAACCCAGAGACAGGGUCUUGCUGUGUUGCUGAGCUGGUCUUGAACUCCUGGCCUCCCGCCUCAGUCUCCCAAAGUGCUGGGAUUACAGGGAAUGUGACUUCACUGGACGCAGUAUAAAGAUCUUCAGAUGUCCUCCUGCCGGGGAUUGCAGGGAUCACAGAAAGACCAUCGAGGUCCAGGAGCUACCUGCAAGCGGAGAUCCCUCUGGACGCCCCGUGCCUCACCCAGCAAAGCCGGCUCACAACCCUGCGCUCUCAAACCUCUAAAAGGGCUUGAGGUGCCAAUAGGAAAGGAGGCCCGAGAUUGCCACGGCAUACGUGGGCCCCAAGGAGGGAGCCAGGAGUCACUGCCUGCUUGGGCUAAGGGUACCGCGUACGGAAAGGCGGCGGGGACGCGGCCCAGUUCCAGGAGAUGCGCCCAACGAAGAAGCGGAGGAACAGGGUCACGGGAUAGGGCAGACACCCGGCUGCUUUUUGUUUGCUAGACACCAGCGCCAGCCCCUGCCCGGCCCUCCCGGUCUCCUAAGGGUUGGGGGGGUGUCUUAGGCUCCACAGCGCCCCCGACCGCCCUCCUGCACUCCUCACCGUCUCCAUUGCAAGAGGCGCCCGGCUUGGUUUCCUCGCUUUAGGAAACUCUCUUGGGGCAGGCCCCGCCCCACAUCCGGUGCGGCGACGCCACUUCCGCCCACGUCAUGGCAGUCGCCAGACUGGGGCGGAAGGCAAGGAACCCACCCUUCCGGCGGUGGCGGGCCUCGGUAACCGCCCUCCCCCGGGUCCUCGCGGACCGCACGGAUCCGGCUGACGGCGAGGGUCAUGGGACGGAGCCGCUUGUAUUUAAAAUGUUCUUUUUUUAUUUGUCGUUUAAAAACAAACUUGGAAGAAGCAAAAUCCAAAACUUGCCCUUUGCCUCUCGCAACAUAAAUAUGUACAGUUCAGAAUGAUCGCUGAUACAAAACAUGCCAAGGACAGGGGCGCUGAGGGUGGAGGGAGAGAGGGCGCUUUAAAAAAGGGAACCAUUUCAUCCGUUGUUACGAAGGACCAACCUUGCUGUACAGGAUACACACAACACAAAAUAAAGUCUUCACGGGAUUCAC
rnacentral:lncRNA from 1 species